rnacentral:lncRNA from 1 species
GUUUGGUGGAGGUGAGGAGAGAGUGGUCCCAAUGAUUUAGAUUGCCUUUUGGAACAUAAUCUACUUUAUAAAAAGUGGGAUGCUAAACAGUUUGUAGUUAAUUGAUUGCAUAUGGCAUUAUGGGACGUAUCAAUCAAAUUAAACGGUUUAUAUUUAUCUCUAAAAUAUCAUUAAAAAGAACAUGCAUUUUGCUCGACGAUAUAUACAUUAUUUUUAAUGAUAUGGGUUUAAGUUUAAAGGUGACACCCAAUUCAUCAAAGCUAAAUUUGGUAUACACAUUCCAGACUCGAUCAAUCUUAAGCAAUAAGAUUUCACAAUCAACUUCCUCGAUAUAAAUACAUAGGC